ACUUGUCUAGCUUAGUUGGUAGAGCACAAGGCUUUUAACCUUGUGGUUGUGUGUUCAAGCCCCACGAUAUGCA
rnacentral:tRNA from 1 species